UACGAAGGGGGCUAGCGUUGUUCGGAAUCACUGGGCGUAAAGCGCACGUAGGCGGAUCUUUAAGUCAGAGGUGAAAUCCCAAGGCUCAACCUUGGAACUGCCUUUGAUACUGGGGAUCUUGAGUCCGGGAGAGGUGAGUGGAAUUGCGAGUGUAGAGGUGAAAUUCGUAGAUAUUCGCAAGGAACACCAGUGGCGAAGGCGGCUCACUGGCCCGGUACUGACGCUGAGGUGCGAAAGCGUGGGGAGCAAACAGG
rnacentral:rRNA from 1 species